UUUCCCAGAUGCCGAGGUAUAUAUGUUCUAAAUGAUUAUGAAUCUUUAGUAUUCACAUUUCAAUUCAGCUACAAUUAUGAUAUUUAAUCAAUCCUUAUUACAUGGUAAUGUUAGACUCCUACAAGACCCACGCAUAAAGUUGGUAAAGGGAUUUCAAGACGCAUCGAGUCGGUUGCAUCUCUAAAAGAGGUUCCCGGUCGAAAGUUGAAAAAAGCUGGUAACGAUAUUCCUCCAACGACGUCCGGGACAAAAUCUCAAAUUAUGAUGCGUCUUGAGAAAAUGGUGAAUGAGUCCGAUAUUAUGCAAGGGGCCAUUCGUACUAUAGAUUUUGAUGAAGGUGUUUUCGGAGCUGCUCAUUUCGAAAUAAUUGCAAAGGAGGACAUGCAACAACUUUUUGAACACGACGAAUUGGGCAUCGCUGUCAUUCAUACAUACAUAUGGUAUAUGUAUGUAACAUUGCUGCGGGGAACUGAAUUGUGUAACCGUUUCAAUUUUAUUGCUGCUUCCCGUAUCAACGCAACGUUAAUAACGAAAAAUCCAACAUCCGUAAAGAAUGAUCUAGUCGAUAGAUUCAUGGCGGCCGAC